rnacentral:rRNA from 1 species
GUGCAGCAGGCGAGAAACUUCACACUGUGCGAAAGCACGAUGAGGGAAUCCCAAGUGCUUGCACGUAAGUGUAAGCUGUUUCUCUGUCUAAAACGCAGAGAGAGUAAGGGCUGGGUAAGACGGGUGCCAGCCGCCGCGGUAAUACCUGCAGCUCAAGUGGUGACCGUUAUUAUUGGGCCUAAAACGUCCGUAGCCGGUUUAAUAAAUGCCUGGGUAAAUUGUGUAGCUUAACUAUACGAAUUCCGGGUAGACUGUUAAACUUGAGACCGGGAGAAGUUAGAGGUACUCCUGGGGUAGAGGUGAAAAUUCUGUAAUCCUAGGGGACCACCAGUGGCGAAGGCGUCUAACUAGAACGGGUCUGACGGUGAGGGACGAAGCCCUGGGGCGC